rnacentral:rRNA from 1 species
CCUACGGGUGGCAGCAGUGGGGAAUAUUGCGCAAUGGGCGCAACCCUGACCCAGCAACGCCGCGUGAAUGAAGAAGGCUUUCGGGUUGUAAAGCUCUUUCAGCAGGGACGAAACCAGUGACGGUACCUGACGAAUAAACCGCGGCUACCUCCGUGCCAGCAGCCGCGGUAAUACGUAGGGGGCAAGCGUUAUCCGGAUUUAUUGGGUGUAAAGGUCGUGUAGGCGGGAGGGCAAGUCUGAUGUGAAAAGCCAGGGCACAACCCUUGGACUGCAUUUGACACUGUGUUUCUUGAGUGCUGGAGAGGUAAGGGGAAUUCCGGGUGUAGCGGUGAAAUGCGUAGAUAUAAGGAGGAACACCAGUGGCGAAGGCGGUUUGCUGGACAGUAACUGACGCUGAGGAGCGAAAGCGUGGGGAGCAAACAGGAUUAGAUACCCUUGUAGUC